rnacentral:rRNA from 1 species
CCUACGGGAGGCAGCAGUGGGGAAUUUUGGACAAUGGGGGCAACCCUGAUCCAGCCAUGCCGCGUGCGGGAAGAAGGCCUUCGGGUUGUAAACCGCUUUUAGUCGGGAAGAAAAGGCGGGGGCUAAUACCCCCUGUUUUUGACGGUACCGGCGGAAUAAGCACCGGCUAACUACGUGCCAGCAGCCGCGGUAAU